CCACACACAAAUCACUUCAAAGAUAAUAUAAUUACAUCUAAAGUAUUAUAGGAAUAUGGCAAAGUCAUUAGUGAGCUACACAACCUUCCUUGCUCUCCUCUUAUGCUUCCUCCUCAUUUCAUCCAAUGAGAUGCAAGGUGCUGAAGGGAAAACAUGCCGAUGGAGGAGCAAGGAAUAUCGUACCCGCUUUUGCUUGUUGAGUGACACUUGUUUCAAAAAGUGCAAAGAAGAGUAUUCCAAAUCAACAAAGGGUCAGUGCAUUAAAAAAGGCACCUUUUCUCGCUAUUGCUACUGUUGGCGCAAGUGCUAAGAAGCAUCCAAUGUUCUCACAAAUCUCUUUGCUUAUGUAUGAAUAAAUAAAAAAUUAAUGGUGUGUUGUCUUGUGUCAUGUGUGAAAGAAUAAAAACCUACCAAUUCAUUAGAAUUGUAGUGAUUGUGAUCGAAAUUGUUCUAUGUUAUGUUUUCAUAUGAUAUUCUACGUUUAUAGUUUUUGUAUAAAUAAAUUGUUCGCUGUCAUUUUCAUUGA